CGGCAGCGGCAGCGGCCGCGGCGGGAGUGCCCCAGAGCCCCGCCCCCGGGGAGGGGCCGUCUGGCAGGUUUCCUCCCCUCUGUCCUCCUUGGCCCCAACUCCACGCCCGGGAUGAAAUUUCGCGGCAGGAAAGACGCGGUUGACGCGGCGUCGAUGGACUGAGACUAAGCCAAAAACCGGGUUCCUGUGCCAGGAAGAUGCUGGAGCGAGGCGGGGAGUCCGCGGCCGGAGGCACCAAUCCUAGUCCUACUAGCAAGGAACCGGUGACCAACGGAGAU